AUUGAACGCUGGCGGCAGGCCUAACACAUGCAAGUCGAGCGGAUGAAGGGAGCUUGCUCCUGGAUUCAGCGGCGGACGGGUGAGUAAUGCCUAGGAAUCUGCCUGGUAGUGGGGGAUAACGUCCGUAAACGGGCGCUAAUACCGCAUACGUCCUGAGGGAGAAAGUGGGGGAUCUUCGGACCUCACGCUAUCAGAUGAGCCUAGGUCGGAUUAGCUAGUUGGUUGGGUAAAGGCCUACCAAGGCGACGAUCCGUAACUGGUCUGAGAGGAUGAUCAGUCACACUGGAACUGAGACACGGUCCAGACUCCUACGGGAGGCAGCAGUGGGGAAUAUUGGACAAUGGGCGAAAGCCUGAUCCAGCCAUGCCGCGUGUGUGAAGAAGGUCUUCGGAUUGUAAAGCACUUUAAGUUGGGAGGAAGGGCAGUAAGUUAAUACCUUGCUGUUUUGACGUUACCAACAGAAUAAGCACCGGCUAACUUCGUG
rnacentral:rRNA from 1 species